UUAAACUAAGGCCUUUCUCUUUCCAUUAAAUGCCAGUCUGUCAGAUUGCCCUUAAAGUGCUUUGGGAUGGACUGAAAUAUGGGGUAAUUUUUUCCAAAAUAAAAUGCUUAUUGAAGACGGAUGAAUCAUUUAGGAUUUUUUUAGGAUUUUUUUUUUUCAUUUUCUCAAACUGAUUUCAAUGCAAACAAUUGCAAAUCAAUGCAAAACAGAAAUGAAUUGGAAAAUGCGUAUGAAAAGCUUUAAAUUGUGUCCAUUCAUUGUGAGGUUAGUGUGUGGACAUCUGAUCAGUCUUGCUGUUGUAAACCCAUAGGUGGCGCUGCUGUAAAGCUUAUUUGGAUUCUGUAGUACUAAUAGUCAAGGCCUUGCUUUAGAUAAUAGUGAUAUUUUGUAAACCACGCAAGAUUAUUAUUUUGUUUUUAUUUGACAUGAUUUAUAGUAAAUGCAUUAUUGUGGGAAAUAAUGCACGUCCAGAAUAAAUGAAAUGAAGGUUUUCAAGGUACCGACCAGAUCGAGAUUACUACGCCAAUGCUUGUGUUUCUAGUUAAUCAGUCAGUAUUUAAACAGGGUUAAAAAUUGAAUUAAGAUAAUAUGUAUUGGAGAAGAAUGACCUUGAUGUAUAAGUUACCACCUAACAUGGAGACACCUUCUGAAGAUGGUGGCUGGAAGGAGAAUAGUGUCCAAAUUGUUGACCCAUCAUAUAACCUAUAUGCUAAUAUUUUGUUUAUUAAUUUUAAUGUUGGUAUGUCUUUUUCACAUUAAUAAAGCACAUAUCCAUCUUGA